rnacentral:rRNA from 1 species
UGAGUGAAGAAGGUUUUCGGAUCGUAAAACUCUGUUGUCAGGGAAGAACAAGUGCCGUUCGAACAGGGCGGCACCUUGACGGUACCUGACCAGAAAGCCACGGCUAACUACGUGCCAGCAGCCGCGGUAAUACGUAGGUGGCAAGCGUUGUCCGGAAUUAUUGGGCGUAAAGCGCGCGCAGGCGGCUUCUUAAGUCUGAUGUGAAAUCUUGCGGCUCAACCGCAAGCGGUCAUUGGAAACUGGGAGGCUUGAGUGCAGAAGAGGAGAGUGGAAUUCCACGUGUAGCGGUGAAAUGCGUAGAGAUGUGGAGGAACACCAGUGGCGAAGGCGACUCUCUGGUCUGUAACUGACGCUGAGGCGCGAAAGCGUGGGGAGCGAACAGGAUUAGAUACCCUGGUAGUCCACGCCGUAAACGAUGAGUGCUAAGUGUUAGAGGGUUUCCGCCCUUUAGUGCUGCAGCUAACGCAUUAAGCACUCCGCCUGG